UACGUAGGGGGCAAGCGUUGUCCGGAUUUAUUGGGCGUAAAGAGCGUGUAGGCGGCCAGAUAGGUCCGUUGUGAAAACUGGAGGCUUAACCUCCAGCUGUCGAUGGAAACCAUCUGGCUAGAGUCCGGAAGAGGCGAGUGGAAUUCCUGGUGUAGCGGUGGAAUGCGCAGAUAUCAGGAGGAACACCAAUAGCGAAGGCAGCUCGCUGGGACGUUACUGACACUGAGGCGCGAAAGCGUGGGGAGCGAACAGG
rnacentral:rRNA from 1 species